AUUUAAAAUGUAUAAUUUAACGCUUAUGUAGUAGUAGUUAUGUUCUUGAAACUUAAAAAAUUUGGCGGUAUUUUAGUCUAUUCAGAGGAACCUGUUCUAUAAUCGAUAAUCCACGAUGGACCUUACUUAAAUUUGUAAAUCAGUUUAUAUACCGUCGUUAUUAGAAUAUUUUAUAAGAAUAAUAAUAUUCAAAAUAUUUAAUAAAAUAAUAUAUCAGAUCAAGGUGUAGCUUAUAUUUAAGUAGAAAUGGGUUACAAUAAAAUUAUUUAAAUGAAUAUAAAUAUGAAAAAUUUAUUGAAAGUGGAUUUGAAAGUAAAAUUAUAAAGAUAAAUAAUUUGAUUUUAGCUCUAAAAUAUGU
rnacentral:rRNA from 1 species